rnacentral:rRNA from 1 species
AUUGAACGCUGGCGGCAGGCUUAACACAUGCAAGUCGAACGAGUGGCGGACGGGUGAGUAAUGCUUGGGAAUCUAGCUUAUGGAGGGGGAUAACUACGGGAAACUGUAGCUAAUACCGCGUACCAUAGGAUGAGCCCAAGUGGGAUUAGGUAGUUGGUGGGUCAAAGGCUCACAAAGCCGACGAUCUCUAGAUGGUCUGCGAGGAUGACCAGCCACACUUGGAAUGCGACACGGCCCAGACUCCUACGGGAGGCAGCAGUGGUGAAUAUUGCGCAAUGGGUGCAAGCCUGAUGCAGCCAUGCCGCGUGUAUGAAGAAGGCCUUAGGGUUGUAAAGUACUUUCAGCGGUGAGGCGUUACCGACAGAAGAAGCACCGGCUAACUCCGUGCCAGCAGCCGCGGUAAUUC